UCCUACGGGACGCAGCAACGCCGCGUGAAGGAUGAAGGUUUUCGGAUUGUAAACUUCUUUGAUGGGGGACGAAUAAUGACGGUACCCCAAAAACAAGCCACGGCUAACUACGUGCCAGCAGCCGCGGUAAUACGUAGGUGGCGAGCGUUGUCCGGAAUUACUGGGUGUAAAGGGCGUGUAGGCGGGGAUGUAAGUCAGAUGUGAAAUACCUAGGCUUAACUUAGGUGCUGCAUCUGAAACUAUGUUUCUUGAGUGUCGGAGAGGAAAGCGGAAUUCCCAGUGUAGCGGUGAAAUGCGUAGAUAUUGGGAGGAACACCAGUGGCGAAGGCGGCUUUCUGGACGAUAACUGACGCUGAGGCGCGAAAGCGUGGGGAGCAAACAGGAUUAGAUACCCCGGUAGG
rnacentral:rRNA from 1 species